rnacentral:lncRNA from 1 species
UUAGCUGGAUGCAUUAGUGCUCCACAUUUAGCUAUAGGAACAUAGUUAUUCUUCUGGUCUUCAUCAGGUGAACUUGUGGUGGGGAAGGGCUGCAGCAGCUAAAAUAAGGUCAGUCGAAAACUUUAUUUUCCACAAUGAUUCCCCCAGAGUUUACAAAAAUAUAAAGUGGAGUUUAUGCUGAUCUAAGUCUUCAACAGACUAUCAGUCUAUUUUUGAUCAUUUACACAGAUGGAUCCAUUGCUCUGUUUAGGGCAGCUUUGCAUCUCCAAAGAGAUAGGCAUAUGGAUGUUCAAAUACAUUGAGUGCAACAAGAAGUUAAUCAGGCAAGGAAACCUUUGACUACUUGACCAUCUGAGAUCCAUGUCUUACCAAUUGUUCCUUUCUGGAUGCUUUUUCCAUUAGAUCUCUUAAGUAUGAAAAAGAGUUGAUCACUAGGAAAAGGGGACUGACUCAUGGCUGGGAUCACAGGAAUGUUGUAUGUUUUCCGGGCUGUAUGGCCAUGUUCUAGAAGUAUUCUCUCCUGAUGUUUUGCCCACAUCUAUGGCAGGCAUCCUCAGAGGUUGUGAGGUAUGGAGAAACUAAGCAAGGAAGGUUUAUAUAUAUUUGUGGAAAGUCCAGGGUGAGAGAAGAAUUCUUUGUCAGUAGGAGGGCAGUGUGAAUGUUGUAGUUAAUCACCUAAAUUAGCAUUGAAAAGCUUCAUCUCCUGGCUUCUUCUUGCCUGGGGACAUCCUUUGUUCAGAGUCAUUAGCUGCCCCUGGUUCCCAUGUCUGGAACUCCUCUGUUUUCAGAGUGUUGCUUCUUAUUUACUGUUCUGAUUUUUUGUGGAGAUGUGCACAUAGAUACCCUGUUUCCCCUAAAAUAAGACAUCCCCAGAAAAUAAGACCUAGUAGAGGUUUUGCUGAAUUGCUAAAUAUAAGGCCUUUGUUUGGAAAGUUUUUGUUUGGAAGCAUGCCUGCCGAACAGAACACCAGACCAUGCAGGAUUGGUAAAUGUACGUACCAUAGAGUGUUGUGCAUGGAAAUAUUGGUAGUAACAAGAAAUUCCUGAUAGGAUUCACAGUUUGUCUGGUUAUGCUGGUUUGUGAUGACAACUACUGUACAGUAUACAAUAAAUGUUCAUUUUUUGUUCAACAAUAAAUGUGAAUUCUUCUUCAUGGAAAAAUAAGACAUCCCCUGAAAAUAAGACCUAGAGAAUCUUUGGGAGCAAAAAUUAAUAUAAGACACUGUCUUAUUUUUGGGGAAACACGGUAGUAGAGCAAUGAAUGAUGCCUCCAGUGUUUCUUCUCCUCUUGAAAUAAUUUGUUGCAGUAAGAUUGAUUAGUUGUAUGGACUGAGCUGCACUCAAGUGUUGGGGAGAUUCCAUUGUGGAAAAAUCAUUACAGUAUGCCCAUUUAUUAUGCGAGCUUAUUGAACGCAAUUUUUAUUUAUACACAAAGAGCUUUGAAUACCAUAUAAUCACUCCAGACGACCUAGAAAAUGCUUAGAUAAUUGUUCUCUCCAGGCAUUAAGUGCGCUUCUAUGAUUAACUUCCAUCAGAAAUUCUGCCAAAAGUUGACCAUAGAAGGUCUAGCGAGAGCACUUCUCUAGGCAUUUUCUAGGUCCUCCAGAGUGAUUUUAUGGUGUACUUCUGCUGGAAGCUCAAAACAUUGUUUAUUUCAGGUAAGAAAAAUAGACUUCCGGAUGACACAAAAGUGUAUUAUGAAAAGGAUUCUUAACAGAUCCCUUCUGCAAUAUGCAGACAUACCCUACUUUCUGAACCCUAUUAGAUCACAGGACAGAUUUUCUAUUUCUGUCUGUUUUCCCCCUUAUGGACACUUAUUGACAUACAAUUGAUGAGAGUAUUUAUAGUAUAUCAGCUCUAGAGUUGCCUUACUUUCUUGCAUAUUUUGGGAUGUGUAUAUUGGAACAAUGAGUUGUUUUCCAACCAGAAGAUUCAAACAAUUGAAAAAAAAUAGUAUUUUGAGGAGUGGGGUUUGGCCAGAGAAAUUGCACUGUAAAGGAGAAGAGUUAAAUGAACCAACUGUCUUUGCUAAACAAAAUAUGUAGAUGUUCAAGUAUAUUUUUUCUAAGUCCAAGUGUUCUUAUAGUCACACUACUUUUCCUUCUAAACCAUUUAAUUUUUAAAGUGCAUUAUGAUAUUUUUCUUGUUUCUUACUCUGGUAUUAUUAUUUUAUAGAUGGAUAGACUGAUCCUCGGAUAUAAGAAGUCUCCUGUCUCUUCACUCUUGAAGCUGUAUUUUCAGAGAUCAUGACAUUGAACUAGAAAAACUAACUAAUUUUUGUGGAGCUCAUCCCCAAGAAAAGCUAACUAAUUUUUGUGGAGCUCAUCUGGUAAAAAAAAUGGGAAAGCCAGAUAGUCCUAUUCUGUGAGCAAAGUCCCAACCCAAGAGCUAUGAUGUCUGACAUAGAACAGAAGUCAAUGUGGGCCAGUCAACAUCUUCACCUUCUUCCCUCACCAUUGCUAAGUGACAACAACAUCAGCCCUUCCUAGAGCUGGGUAGGAUGUUUGACACUGUGAAAAGAAUAAAAAAGGACGCUCAAUUCCAAAAGAGACAUACAUACACAUAAUCUGUGCUUAUGUACACACCUGUCACUAAUGCUGGCAUAGAGGGUCAUGUUGAGUGAUGGUUGUUCCAGUGGCCUUGAUAUAGAAAUGAUGCUUAGACGCAUCUGGUGGCUCUCAUGACAGUGGUGGGCUGAAUCUGCUCUGGGUUUUGGACUCAAGAGAAGCACUGAUUUUGAGGGGGGUAGGAGCUUUAAUGGUUGGAUUAAAAUUCAGCUGAUUCUGGAGUUGCCAGCUAUUGACUCAUAGUUGCCAUAGGGAAACUUCUAAAACCUCCCACAGCUUCCUC